GUUGAACGCUGGCGGCAGGCCUAACACAUGCAAGUCGAACGAGUGGCGGACGGGUGAGUAAUGUCUGUGAAACUGCCCGAUGGAGGGGGAUAACUACUGGAAACGGUAGCUAAUACCGCAUACCAUCGGAUGUGCCCAGAUGGGAUUAGCUAGUAGUUGGGGUAACGGCUCACCUAGGCGACGACCCCUAGCUGGUCGGAGAGGAUGACCAGCCACACUGGAACGUGGAAACGGUCAAGACUCCUACGGGAGGCAGAAGUGGGGAAUAUUGAAAAAUGGGCGCAAUCCUGAUGCAGACAGGCCGCGUGGAUGAAGAAGGCCUUCGGGUUGUAAAGUACUUUCAGAGAGGAGGCGUUACUCGAAGAGGAAGCACCGGCUAACUACGUGCCAGCAGCCGCGGUAAUAC
rnacentral:rRNA from 1 species